AUAAUUAAAACUUUUAACAACGGAUCUCUUGGUUCUGGCAUCGAUGAAUAACGCAGCGAAAUGCGAUAAGUAAUGUGAAUUGCAGAAUUCAGUGAAUCAUCGAAUCUUUGAACGCACAUUGCGCCCGCCAGCAUUCUGGCGGGCAUGCCUGUUCGAGC
rnacentral:rRNA from 1 species